ACGCGGGAAUCUUACCGGGUCCGGACACACUGAGGAUUGACAGGCAAUAUAUUAGCAUAAAGACUCGUCUUUAGCGCUAAUUGUUAAAUAUGCUAGUCCUUUCAUGAUUAUGUGAUAGGUGGUGCAUGGCCGUUCUUAGUUCGUGGAGUGAUCUGUCUGCUUAAUUGCGUUUCACUAAGGGCCCAUAAAUUCAAGGUAUGUUAGCAAAUGCUGCUCUAUUGACCCCUAAUAGGCUUAACUGUCUUUAGCGCGUGUCUCUACGAGUUCUUUAAAGCACUGCGCAUGCUGUUGGGUCCUGAAAGCAACGAACGUGACCGCAACGUCUUGUUGCCUCUCUAUAAUAUCUUCUUAUUUUUAAUAAGAGUAUUUACCUGAGGCUAUUUUAAAACUAGACGGACCGCUGUUUCUUUCUUAAACCAGAGGAAGGUUGCGGCAAUAACAGGUCUGUGAUGCCCUCAGAUGUCC
rnacentral:rRNA from 1 species